UCAAAGGCCUUUUUAAAGGCCAACUAGAUGACAUCUACCUUGAUU
rfam:Alligator mississippiensis ScZkoYb_844, whole genome shotgun sequence.